rnacentral:rRNA from 1 species
AGUGAACGCUGGCGGUAGGCCUAACACAUGCAAGUCGAACGGCAGCACAGUAAGAGCUUGCUCUUACGGGUGGCGAGUGGCGGAUGGGUGAGGAAUACAUCGGAAUCUACUUUUUCGUGGGGGAUAACGUAGGGAAACUUACGCUAAUACCGCAUACGACCUACGGGUGAAAGCAGGGGAUCUUCGGACCUUGCGCGAUUGAAUGAGCCGAUGUCGGGUUAGCUAGUUGGCGGGGUAAAGGCCCACCAAGGCGACGAUCCGUAGCUGAUCUGAGAGGGUGAUCAGCCCCACCGGAACUGAGACACGGGCCAGACGCCGACGGGAGGCCGAAGCAGGGAAUAAUGGACAAUGGGCGCAAGUCUAAGCCAGUCAAGCCGCGUGGGUGAAGAAGGCCUUAGGGUUGGUAAGCCCUAUUGUUGGGAAAGAAAAGCAGCAGGUUAAUACCCCGCUGUUCUGACGGUACCCAAAGAAUAAGCACCGGCUAACUUCGUG